AAUUUCCUGAGCCUUUUCUGGUUAUCUUCACUGACAGGGAAAAACGGGCUCAGUUCUGGCAUUCUUGCUCCCCCAAAGCAAAGCCGUGGCGCAAGGAAAUCAAGAGUCUUACAAGGGUUCAGAGACCCUGCUGAGCUCCCCCUGCUCAUCCACAGCUUAACCAGCAGAAAUACUCUGAAUCAGGCAUUUUUAGUUUAGACAGAGGCUGUGCAGCUGCUGUCUUCUCUCUGCAGUGGGAAGGUCAGGGCCAGUGGGACAGUUGACCUCAGCAGCCUGAAUUUCACCCAGAGGCCUGAAAAAUAUGGGAACAAAUAGCUCUGAGCAACACCAGCUUAAACUGAAAGUGAAUAAAAGGAAUAAGAAGAAUAGUCCUCAUAAAGCAAGAGAUUAUUUGGAAAGUUCUGCAGUAUGUGAAACGCUUGUUAUUACAGCAAUGAUGAUACUGAAGAAAUAACAAGGCUCUACGGCAUAGAAAGUUGUAUCAAU